rnacentral:rRNA from 1 species
UACGUAGGGUGCAAGCGUUGUCCGGAAUUAUUGGGCGUAAAGAGCUCGUAGGCGGUUUGUCGCGUCUGCUGUGAAAUCCCGAGGCUCAACCUCGGGUCUGCAGUGGGUACGGGCAGACUAGAGUGUGGUAGGGGAGAUUGGAAUUCCUGGUGUAGCGGUGGAAUGCGCAGAUAUCAGGAGGAACACCAACGGCGAAGGCAGCUCGCUGGGACGGUACUGACACUGAGGCGCGAAAGCGUGGGGGAGCGAACAGG